rnacentral:rRNA from 1 species
AGAGUUUGAUUCUGGCUCAGGAUGAACGCUAGCUACAGGCUUAACACAUGCAAGUCGAGGGGCAGCAUGGGAGUUGCUGCAAUUCCCGAUGGCGACCGGCGGAUGGGUGAGUAACGCGUAUCCAACCUGUCCCGCGCGCGGGGACAGCCCUUGGAAAUGAGGAUUAACCCCCCGAUACGCCAUGGGGCCGCAUGGUCCCCUGGUGAACCUUUGCGCGGGUUGGGGAUGCGUACGAUUAGCUUGCCGGCGGGGUGACGGCCCACCGGGGCGACGAUCGUUAGGGGUUCUGAGAGGAAGGUCCCCCACACUGGUACUGAGACACGGACCAGACUCCUACGGGAGGCAGCAGUGAGGAAUAUUGGUCAAUGGGCGGAAGCCUGAACCAGCCAAGUUAAGCGUGCAGGAUGACGGCCCUACGGGUUGUAAACUGCUUUUAUGCGGGGAUAACCGCCGGGACGCGUCCCGGCCUGCAGGUACCGCAUGAAUAAGGACCGGCUAAUUCCGUGCCAGCCGCGGC